rnacentral:rRNA from 1 species
CCUACGGGAGGCAGCAGUGAGGAAUAUUUGUCAAUGGGCGAGAGCCUGAACCAGCCAAGUCGCGUGAGGGAAGACGGUCCUACGGAUUGUAAACCUCUUUUGCCGGGGAGCAAAAAGCGGUACGUGUACCGCAACGAGAGGACCCGGAGAAAAAGCAUCCGCCAACCCCGUGCCAGCAGCCGCGGUAAUACGGAGGCUGCGAGCGUUAUCCGGAUUUAUUGGGUUAAAAGGGUGCGCAGGCGGAGUUGCAAGUCAGCGGUCAAAUUGCGGGGCGCAACCCCGUACUGCCGUUGAAACUGUAGCCCUUGAGUGCGCGAGAAGUAUGCGGAAUGCGUGGUGUAGCAGUGAAAUGCAUAGAUAUCACGCAGAACUCCGAUUGCGAAGGCAGCAUACCGGAGCGCAACUGACGCUCAUGCACGAAAGCGUGGGUAUCGAACAGGAUUAGAUACCCGUGUAGUC